rnacentral:rRNA from 1 species
AAGGUUAAGCCUCACGGUUCAUUAGUACCGGUUAGCUCAACGCAUCGCUGCGCUUACACACCCGGCCUAUCAACGUCGUCGUCUUCAACGUUCCUUCAGGACCCUUAAAGGGUCAGGGAGAACUCAUCUCGGGGCAAGUUUCGUGCUUAGAUGCUUUCAGCACUUAUCUCUUCCGCAUUUAGCUACCGGGCAGUGCCAUUGGCAUGACAACCCGAACACCAGUGAUGCGUCCACUCCGGUCCUCUCGUACUAGGAGCAGCCCCCCUCAGUUCUCCAGCGCCCACGGCAGAUAGGGACCGAACUGUCUCACGACGUUCUAAACCCAGCUCGCGUACCACUUUAAAUGGCGAACAGCCAUACCCUUGGGACCUACUUCAGCCCCAGGAUGUGAUGAGCCGACAUCGAGGUGCCAAACACCGCCGUCGAUAUGAACUCUUGGGCGGUAUCAGCCUGUUAUCCCCGGAGUACCUUUUAUCCGUUGAGCGAUGGCCCUUCCAUUCAGAACCACCGGAUCACUAUGACCUGCUUUCGCACCUGCUCGCGCCGUCACGCUCGCAGUCAAGCUGGCUUAUGCCAUUGCACUAACCUCCUGAUGUCCGACCAGGAUUAGCCAACCUUCGUGCUCCUCCGUUACUCUUUAGGAGGAGACCGCCCCAGUCAAACUACCCACCAGACACUGUCCGCAACCCGGAUCACGGGUCCACGUUAGAACAUCAAACAUUAAAGGGUGGUAUUUCAAGGUCGGCUCCAUGCAGACUGGCGUCCACACUUCAAAGCCUCCCACCUAUCCUACACAUCAAGGCUCAAUGUUCAGUGUCAAGCUAUAGUAAAGGUUCACGGGGUCUUUCCGUCUUGCCGCGGGUACACUGCAUCUUCACAGCGAGUUCAAUUUCACUGAGUCUCGGGUGGAGACAGCCUGGCCAUCAUUACGCCAUUCGUGCAGGUCGGAACUUACCCGACAAGGAAUUUCGCUACCUUAGGACCGUUAUAGUUACGGCCGCCGUUUACCGGGGCUUCGAUCAAGAGCUUCGCUUGCGCUAACCCCAUCAAUUAACCUUCCGGCACCGGGCAGGCGUCACACCGUAUACGUCCACUUUCGUGUUUGCACAGUGCUGUGUUUUUAAUAAACAGUUGCAGCCAGCUGGUAUCUUCGACUGAUUUCAGCUCCACGAGCAAGUCGCUUCACCUACGUAUCAGCGUGCCUUCUCCCGAAGUUACGGCACCAUUUUGCCUAGUUCCUUCACCCGAGUUCUCUCAAGCGCCUUGGUAUUCUCUACCUGACCACCUGUGUCGGUUUGGGGUACGAUUUGAUGUUACCUGAUGCUUAGAGGCUUUUCCUGGAAGCAGGGCAUUUGUUGCUUCAGCACCGUAGUGCCUCGUCAUCACGCCUCGGCCUUGAUUUUCCGGAUUUGCCUGGAAAACCAGCCUACACGCUUAAACCGGGACAACCGUCGCCCGGCCAACAUAGCCUUCUCCGUCCCCCCUUCGCAGUAACACCAAGUACAGGAAUAUUAACCUGUUUCCCAUCGACUACGCCUUUCGGCCUCGCCUUAGGGGUCGACUCACCCUGCCCCGAUUAACGUUGGACAGGAACCCUUGGUCUUCCGGCGAGCGGGCUUUUCACCCGCUUUAUCGUUACUUAUGUCAGCAUUCGCACUUCUGAUACCUCCAGCAUACCUCACAGCACACCUUCACAGGCUUACAGAACGCUCCCCUACCCAACAACGCAUAAGCGUCGCUGCCGCAGCUUCGGUGCAUGGUUUAGCCCCGUUACAUCUUCCGCGCAGGCCGACUCGACCAGUGAGCUAUUACGCUUUCUUUAAAUGAUGGCUGCUUCUAAGCCAACAUCCUGGCUGUCUGGGCCUUCCCACAUCGUUUCCCACUUAACCAUGACUUUGGGACCUUAGCUGGCGGUCUGGGUUGUUUCCCUCUUCACGACGGACGUUAGCACCCGCCGUGUGUCUCCCGUGAUAACAUUCUCCGGUAUUCGCAGUUUGCAUCGGGUUGGUAAGUCGGGAUGACCCCCUUGCCGAAACAGUGCUCUACCCCCGGAGAUGAAUUCACGAGGCGCUACCUAAAUAGCUUUCGGGGAGAACCAGCUAUCUCCCGGUUUGAUUGGCCUUUCACCCCCAGCCACAAGUCAUCCGCUAAUUUUUCAACAUUAGUCGGUUCGGUCCUCCAGUUAGUGUUACCCAACCUUCAACCUGCCCAUGGCUAGAUCACCGGGUUUCGGGUCUAUACCCUGCAACUUAACGCCCAGUUAAGACUCGGUUUCCCUUCGGCUCCCCUAUCCGGUUAACCUUGCUACAGAAUAUAAGUCGCUGACCCAUUAUACAAAAGGUACGCAGUCACACGCCUAAGCGUGCUCCCACUGCUUGUACGUACACGGUUUCAGGUUCUUUUUCACUCCCCUCGCCGGGGUUCUUUUCGCCUUUCCCUCACGGUACUGGUUCACUAUCGGUCAGUCAGGAGUAUUUAGCCUUGGAGGAUGGUCCCCCCAUAUUCAGACAGGAUACCACGUGUCCCGCCCUACUCAUCGAGCUCACAGUAUGUGCAUUUUUGUGUACGGGGCUGUCACCCUGUAUCGCACGCCUUUCCAGACGCUUCCACUAACACACACACUGAUUCAGGCUCUGGGCUGCUCCCCGUUCGCUCGCCGCUACUGGGGGAAUCUCGGUUGAUUUCUUUUCCUCGGGGUACUUAGAUGUUUCAGUUCCCCCGGUUCGCCUCAUUAACCUAUGGAUUCAGUUAAUGAUAGUGUGACGAAUCACACUGGGUUUCCCCAUUCGGAAAUCGCCGGUUAUAACGGUUCAUAUCACCUUACCGACGCUUAUCGCAGAUUAGCACGUCCUUCAUCGCCUCUGACUGCCAGGGCAUCCACCGUGUACGCUUAGUCGCUUAA